GAUGAAGAACGUAGCGAAAUGCGAUAAGUAAUGUGAAUUGCAGAGUUCAGUGAAUCAUCGAAUCUUUGAACGCACAUUGCGCCCGCCAGCAUUCUGGCGGGCAUGCCUGUUCGAGCGUCAUUUCAACCCUCGAGCCCCCCCGGGGGCCUCGGUGUUGGGGGACGGCACACCAGCCGCCCCCGAAAUGCAGUGGCGACCCCGCCGCAGCCUCCCCUGCGUAGUAGCACACACCUCGCACCGGAGCGCGGAGGCGGUCACGCCGUAAAACGCCCAACUUUCUUAGAGUUGACCUCGGAUCAGGUAGGAAUACCCGCUGAACUUAAGCAUAUCAAUAAGCGGAGGA
rnacentral:misc_RNA from 1 species